GCACCUACCGAUUGUAUGAUUCGGUGAAAAUCUCGGACUAUGGCUUGAAACUUUAUUGUGACUUGCCGUUAGGAAGUUAUUUAAACCUCAUCAUUUAGAGGAAGGUGAAGUCGUAACAAGGUUUCCGU
rnacentral:rRNA from 1 species